rnacentral:tRNA from 1 species
GGGUUUAUAUUGUAAACAGCAGCAUUUCUUUUUUGCACAAAGAAAGUUUUAAUCCA